GUGCAAUUCCUUCCCAAUUAUUACCAAAAUUACACUCCAUUGGUUCAACAUUUUCAGGACAGUCUUUUGCAAUAUGUCCAAAGUUUCUGCAUUUAAAGCAUUUUAUACCAUAAUUAGUACUUUUUGAUUCAUUUGUAGGCUCUUCCCACCUCCCAAAGUCUUUUUCUCUUUUAACAUUGUCUCUUGGGUAAUAAGACCCUGUUCUCUCAUCAAAAGGCCCCCUUUUCCCUGGAACAGUCUUACC